AUACGUAGGGGGCGAGCGUUGUCCGGAAUGAUUGGGCGUAAAGGGCGCGUAGGCGGCCUGUUAAGUCUGGAGUGAAAGUCCUGUUUUCAAGAUGGGAAUUGCUUUGGAUACUGAUGGGCUUGAGUGCAGGAGAGGUUAUCGGAAUUCCCGGUGUAGCGGUGAAAUGCGUAGAGAUCGGGAGGAACACCGGUGGCGAAGGCGGCUAUCUGGACAGUAACUGACGCUGAGGCGCGAAAGCGUGGGGAGCAAACAGGAUUAGAUACCCUGGUAGUCCACGCUGUAAACGAUGAAUACUAGGUGUGGGGGGACUGACCCCCUCCGUGCCGCAGUUAACACAAUAAGUAUUCCACCCGGGGAGUACGACCGCAAGGUUGAAACUCAAAUGAAUUGACGGGG
rnacentral:rRNA from 1 species